rnacentral:rRNA from 1 species
CCUACGGGAGGCAGCAGUGGGGAAUCUUGCGCAAUGGGCGAAAGCCUGACGCAGCCAUGCCGCGUGAAUGAUGAAGGUCUUAGGAUUGUAAAAUUCUUUCACCGGGGACGAUAAUGACGGUACCCGGAGAAGAAGCCCCGGCUAACUUCGUGCCAGCAGCCGCGGUAAUACGAAGGGGGCUAGCGUUGCUCGGAAUUACUGGGCGUAAAGGGAGCGUAGGCGGAUAGUUUAGUCAGAGGUGAAAGCCCAGGGCUCAACCUUGGAAUUGCCUUUGAUACUGGCUAUCUUGAGUACGGAAGAGGUAUGUGGAACUCCGAGUGUAGAGGUGAAAUUCGUAGAUAUUCGGAAGAACACCAGUGGCGAAGGCGACAUACUGGUCCGUUACUGACGCUGAGGCUCGAAAGCGUGGGGAGCAAACAGGAUUAGAUACCCUGGUAGUCCACGCCGUAAACGAUGAGUGCUAGUUGUCGGCAUGCAUGCAUGUCGGUGACGCGAGCUACGCAUUAAGUACACUCCGCCGUCGGGAGGUACGGUCGCGAAGAAUUAAACUUAACAAUAGAAGUUAGACGGCGUAGAGACGUGCCGACGGACGACCGACGAGGGAGGUUAGG